rnacentral:rRNA from 1 species
AUGCAAGUCGAGCGCCCCGCAAGGGGAGCGGCAGACGGGUGAGUAACGCGUGGGAAUCUACCCAUCACUACGGAACAACUCCGGGAAACUGGAGCUAAUACCGUAUACGUCCUUCGGGAGAAAGAUUUAUCGGUGAUGGAUGAGCCCGCGUUGGAUUAGCUAGUUGGUGGGGUAAUGGCCUACCAAGGCGACGAUCCAUAGCUGGUCUGAGAGGAUGAUCAGCCACACUGGGACUGAGACACGGCCCAGACUCCUACGGGAGGCAGCAGUGGGGAAUAUUGGACAAUGGGCGAAAGCCUGAUCCAGCCAUGCCGCGUGAGUGAUGAAGGCCCUAGGGUUGUAAAGCUCUUUCAACGGUGAAGAUAAUGACGGUAACCGUAGAAGAAGCCCCGGCUAACUUCGUGCCAGCAGCCGCGGUAAUACGAAGGGGGCUAGCGUUGUUCGGAAUUACUGGGCGUAAAGCGCACGUAGGCGGAUUGUUAAGUGAGGGGUGAAAUCCCAGGGCUCAACCCUGGAACUGCCUCUCAUACUGGCAAUCUCGAGUUCGAGAGAGGUGAGUGGAAUUCCGAGUGUAGAGGUGAAAUUCGUAGAUAUUCGGAGGAACACCA